GCGCCAGUAUUUCAAGGAGGCUGAGGUGCGCGUGUAUGGGGGUGAGAUCGUGCUGGCCCUGGAACACCUGCAUAAGCUCGGCAUCAUUUACCGAGACCUGAAACUGGAGAAUGUGCUGCUGGACUCCGAGGGCCACAUUGUCCUCACGGACUUCGGGCUGAGCAAGGAGUUCCUGACGGAGGAGAAAGAGCGGACCUUCUCCUUCUGUGGCACCAUCGAGUACAUGGCCCCUGAAAUCAUCCGUAGCAAGACGGGGCACGGCAAGGCUGUGGACUGGUGGAGCCUGGGCAUCUUGCUCUUCGAGCUGCUGACGGGGGCCUCGCCCUUCACCCUGGAGGGCGAGAGGAACACGCAGGCUGAGGUGUCUCGGACCUGCUGCAGCGGCUGCUUUGCAAGGAUCCCAAGAAGCGAUUGGGCGCGGGGCCCCAGGGGGCACAAGAAGUCCGGAACCACCCCUUCUUCCAGGGCCUCGAUUGGGCUGCUCUGGCUGCCAGGAAGAUUCCAGCCCCAUUCCGGCCCCAAAUCCGCUCAGAGCUGGAUGUGGGCAACUUUGCAGAGGAAUUCACUCGGCUGGAGCCUGUCUACUCACCCCCUGGCAGCCCCCCACCUGGGGACCCCCGAAUCUUUCAGGGAUACUCCUUUGUGGCACCCUCCAUCCUCUUUGACCACAACAACGCGGUGAUGACCGAUGUGCUGGAAGCACCUGGUGCUGGAGACCGGCCAGGUCGGGCAGCGGUGGCCAGGAGCGCUAUGAUGCAGGUGGGCUGGGCUGGGCUGGGGGGAAACUGGUUUUAGGCCCGGGGACUCUAGGCCUAGAUCCAACUGGUGCCCGCAGCGUGAGCUCAGUGAGGUCCUAAGCCUCUCCGACAUGGGGCGUGGCGGGGCC
rnacentral:sRNA from 1 species